AUACGGAGGAUCCGAGCGUUAUCCGGAUUUAUUGGGUUUAAAGGGUGCGCAGGCGGCCAUUUAAGUCAGCGGUUAAAUCGUGGGGCUCAACCCCAUUCUGCCGUUGAUACUGGGUGGCUUGAUUGCGGUCGAGGUUGGCGGAAUUCGUUGUGUAGCGGUGAAAUGCAUAGAUAUGACGAAGAACACCGAUUGCGUAGGCAGCUGACCAGAUCGCAAAUGACGCGCAUGCACGAAAGUGCGGGGAUCGAACAGGAUUAGAUACCCUGGUAGUCCGCACAGUAAACGAUGAAUACUUGUUUUCGGCGAUAUAAUGUCGGAGGCAAAGCGAAAGCGAUAAGUAUUCCACCUGGGGAGUACGCCGGCAACGGUGAAACUCAAAUGAAUUGACGGGG
rnacentral:rRNA from 1 species